rnacentral:rRNA from 1 species
AGGUAAGCUAUUAAGAGCGAAUGGUGGAUGCCUUGGCUGGUAAAGGCGAUGAAGGACGUACUAGACUGCGAUAAGCUACGGGGAGCUGUCAAGAAGCUUUGAUCCGUAGAUUUCCGAAUGGGGCAACCCAGUAUAUAGAGAUAUAUACUACCAUAAUGGAGCGAACGUAGGGAAUUGAAACAUCUUAGUACCUACAGGAAAAGAAAUCAAUAGAGAUUGCGUCAGUAGCGGCGAGCGAAAGCGCAAGAGGGCAAACCCAGUGCUUGCACUGGGGGUUGUAGGACUGCAAUGUGCAAUAGGUAAGGUUAGUAGAACACUCUGGAAAGUGUAGCCAUAGAGGGUGAUAGUCCCGUAUACGAAAACCAAACCUUAGCUAGCAGUAUCCUGAGUAGGGCGGGACACGAGGAAUCCUGUCUGAAGCUGGGUCGACCACGAUCCAACCCUAAAUACUACUACCAGACCGAUAGUGCACAAGUACCGUGAGGGAAAGGUGAAAAGAACUGAGGUGAUCAGAGUGAAAUAGAACCUGAAACCAUUUGCUUACAAUCAUUCAGAGCACUAUGUAGCAAUACAGUGUGAUGGACUGCCUUUUGCAUAAUGAGCCUGCGAGUUGUGGUGUCUGGCAAGGUUAAGCACACGCGAAGCCGUAGCGAAAGCGAGUCUGAAUAGGGCGCUUAAGUCAGAUGCUGCAGACCCGAAACGAAGUGAUCUAUCCAUGAGCAAGUUGAAGCUAGUGUAAGAACUAGUGGAGGACUGAACCGAUAGGCGUUGAAAAGCCCCCGGAUGACUUGUGGAUAGGGGUGAAAGGCCAAUCAAACUUCGUGAUAGCUGGUUCUCUCCGAAAUAUAUUUAGGUAUAGCGUUGUGUCGUAGUAUAAGGGGGUAGAGCACUGAAUGGGCUAGGGCAUACACCAAUGUACCAAACCCUAUCAAACUCCGAAUACCUUAUAUGUAAUCACAGCAGUCAGGCGGCGAGUGAUAAAAUCCGUCGUCAAGAGGGAAACAACCCAGACUACCAGCUAAGGUCCCUAAAUCUUACUUAAGUGGAAAACGAUGUGAAGUUACUUAAACAACCAGGAGGUUGGCUUAGAAGCAGCCAUCCUUUAAAGAAAGCGUAAUAGCUCACUGGUCUAGUGAUUUUGCGCGGAAAAUAUAACGGGGCUAAAGUAAGUACCGAAGCUGUAGACUUGAUUUUAUCAAGUGGUAGGAGAGCGUUCUAUUUGCGCCGAAGGUAUACCGGUAAGGAGUGCUGGAGCGAAUAGAAGUGAGCAUGCAGGCAUGAGUAGCGAUAAUUAAUGUGAGAAUCAUUAACGCCGUAAACCCAAGGUUUCCUACGCGAUGCUCGUCAUCGUAGGGUUAGUCGGGUCCUAAGUCGAGUCCGAAAGGGGUAGACGAUGGCAAAUUGGUUAAUAUUCCAAUACCAACAUUAGUGUGCGAUGGAAGGACGCUUAGGGCUAAGCAAGCUAGCGGAUGGAAGUGCUAGUCUAAGGUCGUAGGAGGUUAUAUAGGCAAAUCCGUAUAACAAUACUCCGAG